rnacentral:rRNA from 1 species
UACGGAGGGUGCAAGCGUUAUCCGGAUUCACUGGGUUUAAAGGGUGCGUAGGUGGGCAGGUAAGUCAGUGGUGAAAUCUCCGGGCUUAACUCGGAAACUGCCAUUGAUACUAUAGAUCUUGAAUUUUCUGGAGGUAAGCGGAAUAUGUCAUGUAGCGGUGAAAUGCUUAGAUAUGACAUAGAACACCAAUUGCGAAGGCAGCUUACUACGGGAACAUUGACACUGAGGCACGAAAGCGUGGGGAUCAAACAGG